rnacentral:rRNA from 1 species
AGUCGAGCGAGACCUUCGGGUCUAGCGGCGGACGGGUUAGUAACGCGUGGGAAUAUACCCUUCACUACGGAAUAGCCUCGGGAAACUGGGAGUAAUACCGUAUACGCCCUUUUGGGGAAAGAUUUAUCGGUGAAGGAUUAGCCCGCGUCUGAUUAGAUAGUUGGUGGGGUAAUGGCCUACCAAGUCUACGAUCAGUAGCUGGUUUGAGAGGAUGAUCAGCAACACUGGGACUGAGACACGGCCCAGACUCCUACGGGAGGCAGCAGUGGGGAAUCUUAGACAAUGGGCGCAAGCCUGAUCUAGCCAUGCCGCGUGAGUGACGAAGGCCUUAGGGUCGUAAAGCUCUUUCGCCAGAGAUGAUAAUGACAGUAUCUGGUAAAGAAACCCCGGCUAACUCCGUGCCAGCAGCCGCGGUAAUACGGAGGGGGUUAGCGUUGUUCGGAAUUACUGGGCGUAAAGCGCACGUAGGCGGAUUGGAAAGUAUGGGGUGAAAUCCCAGGGCUCAACCCUGGAACUGCCUUGUAAACUCCCAGUCUAGAGUUCGAGAGAGGUGAGUGGAAUUCCAAGUGUAGAGGUGAAAUUCGUAGAUAUUUGGAGGAACACCAGUGGCGAAGGCGGCUCACUGGCUCGAUACUGACGCUG